GGUCUUACCUGCCCAGUGACAAUGUUAAACGGCCGCGGUAUUUUGACCGUGCGAAGGUAGCGCAAUCACUUGUCUUUUAAAUGAAGACCUGUAUGAAUGGUGAAACGAGGGCUUAACUGUCUCCCUUUUCUAGUCAAUGAAAUUGAUCUGCCCGUGCAGAAGCGGACAUAACAAUACAAGACGAGAAGACCCUUUGGAGCUUAAGAUAUAAAGAUCAUCUAUGUCAAUGGGCCCCAACACGGCAACAAACUAAAUAGCAAUUGAUCUUAAUCUUCGGUUGGGGCGACCACGGGAGAAAAUAAAGCUCCCACGCGGACUGGGGUAAACCCUAAAACUAAGAAAAACAUUUCUAAGUAACAGAACUUCUGACCAUUAAGAUCCGGCUAAACGCCGACCAACGGACCAAGUUACCCUAGGGAUAACAGCGCAAUCCCCUUUCAGAGUCCAUAUCGACAAGGGGGUUUACGACCUCGAUGUUGGAUCAGGACAUCCUAAUGGUGCAGCCGCUAUUAAGGGUUCGUUUGUUCAACGAUUAAAGUCCUACGUGAUCUGAGUUCAGACCGG
rnacentral:rRNA from 1 species